rnacentral:rRNA from 1 species
AUUGAACGCUGGCGGCAUGCUUUACACAUGCAAGUCGAACGGUAACAGGCCGCAAGGUGCUGACGAGUGGCGAACGGGUGAGUAAUGCAUCGGAACGUGCCCAGUCGUGGGGGAUAACGCAGCGAAAGCUGCGCUAAUACCGCAUACGAUCUAUGGAUGAAAGCGGGGGACCGUAAGGCCUCGCGCGAUUGGAGCGGCCGAUGUCAGAUUAGGUAGUUGGUGGGGUAAAGGCUCACCAAGCCGACGAUCUGUAGCUGGUCUGAGAGGACGACCAGCCACACUGGGACUGUGACACGGCCCAGACUCCUACGGGAGGCAGCAGUGGGGAAUUUUGGACAAUGGGGGCAACCCUGAUCCAGCAAUGCCGCGUGCAGGAAGAAGGCCUUCGGGUUGUAAACUGCUUUUGUACGGAACGAAAAGGCUCUGGUUAAUACCCGGAGCUAAUGACGGUACCGUAAGAAUAAGCACCGGCUAACUACGUGCCAGCCGCCGCGGUAAAAC